rnacentral:rRNA from 1 species
UACGUAGGAUCCGAGCAUUAUCCGGAGUGACUGGGUGUAAAGAGUUGCGUAGGUGGCAUAAUAAGUAGCUAGUGGAAAUCUGGUGGCUCAACCAUUCAGACUAUUAGCUAAACUGUUAAGCUCGAGACCGUUAGGGGUAACUGGAAUUUCUAGUGUAGGAGUGAAAUCCGUAGAUAUUAGAAGGAACACCAAUAGCGUAGGCAGGUUACUGGGACGGUUCUGACACUAAGGCACGAAAGCGUAGGGAGCAAACGGG